UUCUUCCAACAGCAGUGAUGGAUGUUGGGGAGCCUGUGGUCUGGACGUUUCAAACACUUGACCUGGAGCCUCUUGAAGCUCUUCAGGGACUUCCUGGGUGGUCCAGUGGCUAAGAUUCCAUGCGCCUAAUGCAGUGGGCCUAGGUUCAAUCCCUGGUGGGGGAACUAGAUCCCACAUGCUGCAACUAAGACCUGAUGCAGGCAAACUUUAAAUAAAAUAAAACAUGAGAAAAGGUUCUUCAGAAAAUGUUCUCUCCUUCGCCUUCCUUCAUCCCAUCAGACAGUCCUAUAAUAAUAGUAACCACUGCAGAGGUGUGUGGAGAGAGAUGAAAACUGCCUCCAACGCCCAGCCCAGGACCGGCAUAUAGAGAGGCUGUCUUCCUGCUCCAGGCAACGUGGCUCAGAACCAAGAGAAAUGAGCAAGCUGGAAUACAGGGCUGAACUGGAAACGCCCACGGGCCCCUGACUCAGCAGAGCUGCCUGACCCCUUGAAGAAAGAAGAGCCUUCUAAGCAGUGAGCCCCAGACUCUGAGCUGAGCUUUGUAACAACAGAGAAACAGGACACAGCCACCCAAGAGGGUUUUCAAUCCAGCAAACAUGUUUGUGCUAAUUGAUGCCACACUGUGCCAUCGGAGAUGCCGAAGAUGCUGCGAUGCUCAAGCUUGUCUUCACAGGGGACUCUCCACGGAUCCAGGCAUCCUGAGAUACGGAGCCUGGAUUUUUCUUCUCUACUUCACUGACCAAGAUACAACUUACUUGCCUCACCCAGGCUCUCCCGAUUAACUCCAGGCUCUUGUCAAACAAAUGAAGCAGAAAUCCUGCCUCAACCUUGGAAUCCGCCGGAGACGAGGCCAU
ensembl:lncRNA